rnacentral:rRNA from 1 species
GACGAACGCUGGCGGCGUGCUUAACACAUGCAAGUCGAACGAAGUGGCGAACGGGUGAGUAACGCGUAAUCAACCUGCCCUUCAGAGGGUGACAACAGUUGAAAACGAGUGCUAAUACCCCAUACUGAAGGAGGGGAUUGCGUCUGAUUGGCUAGUUGGAGGGGUAACGGCCCACCAAGGCGAUGAUCAGUAGCCGGUCGGAGAGGAUGAACGGCCACAUUGGGACUGGGACCAGGCCCAGACUCCUACGGGGGGCAGCAGGGGGGAAUCUUUCGGAAUGGACGAAAGUCUGAAGGAGCAACGGCGGGUGAGGGAUGACGGCAUUCGGGUUGGAAAGCUCUGUUAAUCGGGACGCGGUACCGAAAUAGAAAGCCACGGCUAACUACGUGCCAGCAGCCGCGGUAAUAC